UAAGACAGAGGAGCCAAGCGUUGUCCGGACUGACUGGGCGUAAAGCGCACGCAGGCGGCGCUGCGCGUGGGGUGUGAAAGCUCUUGGCUUAACUGAGAGAGGCCAUCCCAUACGGCAGCACUCGAGCCAUGCAGAGGUCCGCGGAAUUGCCGGUGUAGUGGUGAAAUGCGUAGAGAUCGGCAGGAACACCCAGGGGGAAACCAGCGGACUGGGCAUGUGCUGACGCUCAGGUGCGACAGCGUGGGGAGCGAACCGGAUUAGAUACCCGGGUAGUCCACGCUUUAAACGAUGGACACUCGGCAUCUGGCGCCGAGAUUUCGGCGCUGGGUGCCCAAGCUAACGCGGAAGUGUCCCGCCUGGGAACUACGAGCGCAAGCUUA
rnacentral:rRNA from 1 species